UAUGAUGGAUAUAUCUGGGUUUGACAGUCA
rnacentral:piRNA from 1 species